rnacentral:rRNA from 1 species
AGCGAACGCUGGCGGCAGGCUUAACACAUGCAAGUCGAGCGGGCACCUUCGGGUGUCAGCGGCAGACGGGUGAGUAACACGUGGGAACGUGCCCAUCGGUUCGGAACAACUCCGGGAAACUGGAGCUAAUACCGGAUACGACCGAGAGGUGAAAGAUUUAUCGCCGAUGGAUCGGCCCGCGUCUGAUUAGCUAGUUGGUGAGGUAACGGCUCACCAAGGCGACGAUCAGAGCUGGUCUGAGAGGAUGAUCAGCCACACUGGGACUGAGACACGGCCCAGACUCCUACGGGAGGCAGCAGUGGGGAAUAUUGGACAAUGGGCGAAAGCCUGAUCCAGCCAUGCCGCGUGAGUGAUGAAGGCCUUAGGGUUGUAAAGCUCUUUCGGC